rnacentral:snoRNA from 1 species
AGCCCAUGAUUACGACAUCUCCUGAAUAAGGCUUUGUAUCUCUCCCAAGCAUCAUUCAAGCUCUCGCCUUCACGCUGAACAAAAUUGAAGAUCUCAUCUCGAAUUGCGGAC